GGUCGCUAUGGAGGAACCGGAGAUGCAGCUCAAGGGGAAGAACGUUACGGACACAUUCACUGAGAGAAUCUCCGUCCUGGCGAAUGAGCCCUCGGUGGCCCUGUACUGGCUGCAGGAGCACGUGCGCCGCUCCCUCCCGGAGCUGGCUCGGCACAAGGCAGCCAUGCAGCGCUGGGAGGCGCAGAGCCAGGGAGCCAUCUACACCGCGGACUACGACCGCAGCGCCGUGAAGAAGCUGGUGGACAGCAGCGUCUACUUCCGCAGCGUGGAAGGUCUGCUCAAACAGGCCAUCAGCAUUCGAGACCAUAUGAAUGCCAGUGCCCAGGGCCACCGGUAGCCGCUGGGACCGCCCGCCCCCGCUGCCACUCUCAGCC